CGGGAGGCAGCAGUGGGGAAUAUUGCACAAUGGGGGAAACCCUGAUGCAGCCAUGCCGCGUGUGUGAAGAAGGCCUUCGGGUUGUAAAGCACUUUCAGUUGUGAGGAAAAGUUAGUAGUUAAUACCUGCUAGCCGUGACGUUAACAACAGAAGAAGCACCGGCUAACUCCGUGCCAGCAGCCGCGGUAAUACGGAGGGUGCGAGCGUUAAUCGGAAUUACUGGGCGUAAAGCGCACGCAGGCGGUUUGUUAAGCUAGAUGUGAAAGCCCCGGGCUCAACCUGGGAUGGUCAUUUAGAACUGGCAGACUAGAGUCUUGGAGAGGGGAGUGGAAUUCCAGGUGUAGCGGUGAAAUGCGUAGAUAUCUGGAGGAACAUCAGUGGCGAAGGCGACUCCCUGGCCAAAGACUGACGCUCAUGUGCGAAAGUGUGGGUAGCGAACAGGAUUAGAUACCCUGGUAGUCCACACCGUAAACGCUGUCUACUAGCUGUUUGUGAUUUUAAAUCGUGAGUAGCGAAGCUAACGCGCUAAGUAGACCGCCUGGGGAGUACGGCCGCAAGGUUAAAACUCAAAUGAAUUGACGGGGGCCCGCACAAGCGGUGGAGCAUGUGGUUUAAUUCGAUGCAACGCGAAGAACCUUACCUACACUUGACAUGCAGAGAACUUUCCAGAGAUGGAUUGGUGCCUUCGGGAACUCUGACACAGGUGCUGCAUGGCUGUCGUCAGCUCGUGUCGUGAGAUGUUGGGUUAAGUCCCGCAACGAGCGCAACCCUUGUCCUUAGUUGCCAGCAUUAAGUUGGGCACUCUAAGGAGACUGCCGGUGACAAACCGGAGGAAGGUGGGGACGACGUCAAGUCAUCAUGGCCCUUACGUGUAGGGCUACACACGUGCUACAAUGGCAUUUACAGAGGGAAGCGAGACAGUGAUGUGGAGCGGACCCCUUAAAGAAUGUCGUAGUCCGGAUUGGAGUCUGCAACUCGACUCCAUGAAGUCGGAAUCGCUAG
rnacentral:rRNA from 1 species